UGUCCUCCAAAUAAGGACCAGCAUGAAUGGCCACAUGAGAAAGGAACUGUCUCUUCGGGCCGGCCAAUGAACCUAAACUGCCUGUACAAACGCAGGCAUGCAAAAACAAGACAAAAAGACCCUGUGAAACUUUAAAUGCCCGUCAAACAUAUGAUCAAGGUAUUUUUGGUUGGGGCAACCAAGGAGAAACACAAAUCUCCCCAAUCCGUCACACGGCAAACAGGCCAAAUGACACGCACUUAGACCCAGCAUCACUGACUAAGGAACCAAGCUACUCCAGGGAUAACAGCGCCACAUUCUUAAAGAGUCCGUAUCAGCAAGAAUACUUACGACCUCGAUGUUGGAUUAGGGUACCCCAAUGGCGCAAAAGCUAUUAAGGGUUCGUUUGUUCAACGAUUAAAAU
rnacentral:rRNA from 1 species